UCCCCACUACUCAGAAUUCUAACGCCACUCAAACUCCUCCCUAUAACCGCUAGAAAAUAAAGCCGAAACAGGGAAUUGAACACAGGAUCUUCAACAUACUUGCUACUCCACUUAGGCACCAGACCAGCAGGCCCAUUCUGAUAUUAACCUACUAACAUUUAAAAUUUUGCUCAAGUUAAAGCUUGAAACCAAGACUUCCC
rnacentral:lncRNA from 1 species